rnacentral:rRNA from 1 species
UACGUAGGGUGCGAGCGUUGUCCGGAAUUAUUGGGCGUGAAGAGCUUGUAGGCGGUUUGUCGCGUCUGCUGUGAAAAUCCGGGGCUCAACCCCGGACUUGCAGUGGGUACGGGCAGACUGGAGUGUGGUAGGGGAGACUGGAAUUCCUGGUGUAGCGGUGGAAUGCGCAGAUAUCAGGAGGAACACCGAUGGCGAAGGCAGGUCUCUGGGCCACUACUGACGCUGAGAAGCGAAAGCAUGGGGAGCGAACAGG